rnacentral:rRNA from 1 species
AGAGCGAACGCUGGCGGCAGGCUUAACACAUGCAAGUCGAGCGGGCGUAGCAAUACGUCAGCGGCAGACGGGUGAGUAACGCGUGGGAACGUACCUUUUGGUUCGGAACAACCCAGGGAAACUUGGGCUAAUACCGGAUAAGCCCUUACGGGGAAAGAUUUAUCGCCGAAAGAUCGGCCCGCGUCUGAUUAGCUAGUUGGUGAGGUAAUGGCUCACCGAGGCGACGAUCAGUAGCUGGUCUGAGAGGAUGAUCAGCCACAUUGGGACUGAGACACGGCCCAAACUCCUACGGGAGGCAGCAGUGGGAAUAUGGACAAUGGGCGCAAGCCUGAUCCAGCCAUGCCGCGUGAGUGAUGAAGGCCCUAGGGUUGUAAAGCUCUUUUGUGCGGGAAGAUAAUGACGGUACCACAAGAAUAACGCCCCGGCUAACUCCGCGCCAGCAGCCGC